rnacentral:rRNA from 1 species
UACGUAGGGGGCAAGCGUUAUCCGGAUUUACUGGGUGUAAAGGGAGCGUAGACGGCAGUGCAAGUCUGGAGUGAAAGGCGGGGGCUCAACCCCCGGACUGCUCUGGAAACUGUACGGCUGGAGUGCAGGAGAGGUAAGUGGAAUUCCUAGUGUAGCGGUGGAAUGCGAAGAUAUCACGCAGAACCCCGAUUGCGAAGGCAGCAUGCCGGCUUCCUACUGACGCUGAAGCACGAAAGCGUGGGGAUCGAACAGG